ACAGAAGCACUAGCAACACCAGCAUCAACAUCACCACAACACGCACCAGCAGUAGAGUCCUUUCAAAAAGGGAUCAUAAAUAUUAGCAUAGCAUCAGCGUAGGCAUAGGCUCCGACACCGACAGAGGUAGAGGCAGCAGCACUGGAAGCACCAUUAACAACACCAACACUCAGUACCAACAGCAACAACACCAACACCCGUACCAACAGCAACAACACCACCACUACCACCACCAAUAGCACCUGCACCAACACCAGCACUGGCAUCCGCACCAGCAAUAUGGAUCACAUAUUUUAGGAAAUGUGACUCUCAACUCACUGCUCAAGGCUCAUGGGUGACUAAAACUUUCAGAUAUAAAUGUGAACAUAGAAGACCUAUAUGAACAAUUGUUUUAAGUGUACAUUUUAUAAAUGUAUCUAGAGUUUUAGUAGUUAUUGACUUAACAUUGUUUUUUAUGGAACAUGUUAAUGCUUUUUUUGAACUUCCCUAUCCAUGAAGGCUUUGGCAACAAUGAAAUUUUGGAUGACCCCUUUUGCAAUUAGAGUUGACUAAUGAGAUGAGGACAUACCAUGUCUCUUU